UGAGGCGCGCCGAGUUUGAUCCUGGCUCAGAAUGAACGCUGGCGGCGUGCUUAACACAUGCAAGUCGAACGGUAACAGAUAGAAGCUUGCUUCUAUGCUGACGAGUGGCGCACGGGUGAGUAAUAUAUAGGUAAUGUGCCCCUUAGACCGGGAUAGCCACUGGAAACGGUGAUUAAUACUAGAUACUCCUUCUAAUCUCAAGGUUAGUCGGGAAAGUUUUUCGCUAAGAGAUCGGCCUAUAUCCCAUCAGUUAGUUGGUAAGGUAAUGGCUUACCAAGGCAAUGACGGGUAGCGGGUUUGAGAGGAUGAUCCGCCACACUGGUACUGAGACACGGACCAGACUCCUACGGGAGGCAGCAGUGAGGAAUAUUGCACAAUGGGGGAAACCCUGAUGCAGCAACGCCGCGUGGAGGAUGACGCAUUUCGGUGUGUAAACUCCUUUUAUAUGUCAAGAAAAUGACGGUAGCAUAUGAAUAAGCACCGGCUAACUCCGUGCCAGCAGCCGCGGU
rnacentral:rRNA from 1 species